rnacentral:lncRNA from 1 species
CAUAUAUAGAGGGAGAAUAUUAUCAUAUUGCAAUAUUAUUCCCUUCCUUGUGAAGGCCUCUUGCUCAAAUGAGUAUUCCACAAUAUUGUCACUCUCCAAAAAUGUUUUAAAGUCUCAUUUCAGUCUCUAGUUAACAUAGCUUGAGAUACUAAUUUGGGCAUGAAGCUUUUGCUAGGAAGGUUGCCCUGCUUUUGUAAAUGUCUAGCUUAGAAUCAGUUUCAUUGAAUAAAAAUUUCAAUAGUAUAGUCCACUGAUUUUCGACCGGCAGACAGGUAUGCAAAUCUUCUACAUUUGAAUAUUCUGAUUUGGAACAUCUAUCUUGGCUGAUAAUGUAUAACAACAAUAAAAUAGUUCUCUCUCUCUAUCUCUAUAUACAAAACCAGGAUUUGGACAAAGAAGGGCCAAAAUAUAAAGAAAUAAACCCACAAAAAAAUCGAGGGAUGUCAAUAUAUAGUAUAUAUACGUAUUAAAAAUACAUGAGGCUCUGCCAAUGCCAGAGAAAGCUCAAACCAGAAGAGGGUCCAGAACUUGAAGGCAUGAAUGCAUAAAUUGUACCACCAAAAGAUUCUAAACUGGCGUUUGUACAUAGAUUUUGGUAGAACUUGAAAAGAGAGUUUUAAAGUUGUGUUGAAAAAUAAUUUUUGGAAGUUGAAACACAUGCAUUUUACUUGAAAAAAUGUUAAAGUUUUGUGAGUGGAAGAAACAAUUUAUCAAAAAACUGGCCCAAACCCGUUUUUGGAACUUGAAAAUUUGUCUUCAAUUUUUUUUUUUAAAGAAAACGGCUGAUAUUCCAUGAACAAAUAAUGUUUUUAAUUUUUUUUUAAUCUAGCCAAAAUCUAUGUCCAAACGGGAGCUAAGAGUCGGGGACGCACUCAGAGACAAAAUUCACUAGGUUCAACUAUACUUGGCCCAUUUUACCAUAAAUAUUUUUUUUUACUUUUUUCGGAAUUAGUGUUUGGCCAUGAAAAUUUCAAUUUUCACUUGAAGUUGAAUUUCUAAAAUUUUGGAAUUUGAAAAACUCCAAAAAGUUAUUUUUUAAAUUUUCACUUCAAAUUACUUGUAUUCAUGUCUAAACACAACUUUUAGUUUUCAAAUAUCAUUUUCACUUGAAAAUAAAAUUCACUUUUUUCGGAAUUUCACAAUAUUUAAUGAGAUGAUUUAUAUAGUCGCACAAAUAUUUAUGAAUUAUUAUAGAGAUCACAAAUUUCAAAAAAAUUAUUUCUUUCGUAAACCUAUGCCUAGUCAAAACGCAUCAAAUAGGAAUAUCAAUGAUCACUUCUGGAUACAUUGUCUCAGAGCGAAAUCCCAAUCUUUCAAGUGUCUUGCAUUUAAUGUAGUCACAGGACGAUAUUUUUAUCCUAUGGUUGAUAUGUAAAAAAGAAAUGAUAAAUGAAUAACUGAAAGACGAAUUAGUCAUAGGACUAUUAUAGCAGGAAUGAUCCGAAGCAUUUACUGUUCCAAGAUGCAGCAUUUGCAGAAAAUUAAGAGAUAGGGCAAGUUGUUGAACGUAUUGAUUCCUUUUUCAGUAGGACAACAAAUUAAAGACAAGAAGGAAUUGAUUUAAGGGAAGUAAUGCAGAGAUGCAUAUAUACGAACUAAAAUUACCUCAUUUUCUGGAAUUUCCUCAAGUCAGGGAGCGUCAUGGUAUUAUCGGUAAAAAGAUGGAGUAAUAGUUUUAUCUCAAAUUUUAUAUAGAGCUUUAAAUCAUUAACGAGUUCACUUAAAUUCAUUUGAAUAUGACUUUUUUGCCACUAUUCUAUAUAAUCACACAACCAUCACCACACCAACCACCUUCAUCGCCAGUUUAUACCACUACAAGUUCCACCGGGGGCGGAUUUAUAUAAUGAGUUCGGGGUGCGACGCCACCCGGAUGUUCGGAGAAGAUUUUAGGUAUAUAUUGAUAUCUUACACAAGAAAAUCUAUAUAACAAAAGAGUGGCACCCUAAAUCACAAAGUGAGAUGUCAUGGUUAAAUUGUCAAUCUCCCCACGCAAGAUACAAGAUCGAGACUUUGCUCAAUUUCCAAGUCAAUUUACUUACCCUUGUUCCCUUUUCAAUCUCUUCUUUUUUGUACCUUUUCUUAGAUUCCUUUAUUUUUUCCAUCUUUGUAUUUGUACAAUCCCAUUUAUAUUAUUUAGAUAAAAUAUAUAUUUGAUUCCUUUUUUUCUUUCUAGAUUUUCAAAUAUUUAUGAUUUUAAUCAUUUCUCUCUUUUUAUCCAUCUAAUAUUAUCUUUUCCUUGAAUUUAUGUUUUGUAGAAUGAUGGGUUGCUCUAGUGUUAAGCACCCUCCACUUCCAACCAAGAGGUUCGAGGGAGGAAGUCGAGGGUCUAUCGGAAACAGCCUCUCUACCCCAGAGUAGGGAUAAGGUCUACGUAUACUACCCUCCACAUACCCCACUAGUGGGAUUAUAUUGGGUUAUUGUUGUUGAUGUUGUAGAAUGAUGGCAUCACUAGACAUAAUAUUAAUCUAGUUAUGAUAGUAGAUUAAAAGAAUUUGUUUGUAUUUAUAUUUUUAAGUCACAUUAACAAAUAGAAUUUGAAUUGAGAGGACUAGAUCGAAUUUAACAAAACUUAUUCAGUUUGGUGAUAAUGUAUUUAUUCAUGCAUAAAAAUCUUGUAAAUCAAACUAACCAAACCGAACCAAUUCGAAUUAAGUCAAAUGGAUCGAAAUGAUUAAAUGCACACUAUAAUUUAAUCUCCUUCACUAAUGGUAGGUUUAGAUAGUGGCACUCGUAGUCAUUAAAUCUUGAAUCCGCCUAUGACUUCCACUACUGCCAAUCACCUCCGCCACCAAUCACUACUACCAACCACCUGCACGACCAAUCUUCUUCGCGCAACCACUGCUAUUGCCAGCCACUAGCUAGUCACUUGAACCACAACCAUCACUACAGUCAACCACCACGAUCAAUAACUACCACCAUGAAUUAACCCCCAACCUUACCACCACUAAUUACCUCUACAACCACCAUCUACCUUUCAUCAUCGAUCACCUAUACCACCAUCAGCUGCCAAUGGCGACCACUGCCAAAAAUCAUCUCUAGUGCCAAUCACCACCUCAUAGUUAUCAUCUCUAGCAAUUGACCUACCAUGAAACCACCAGUCGUCUCUGCACAAUCGCCACUGCCAUCCAUCUCCUUAACUGAAGGGAAAUAACACCAGAAAAUAACGAUAAUAAUAUUGCAAUAAUAUUAUUUGUAAGCAGAUACACGAAUUAGCUUGAGUCGUG